GGGGGUGUAGCUCAGCUGGGAGAGCGCGUGGUUUGCAACCACGAGGUCACGGGUUCGAGCCCCGUCAUCUCCA
rnacentral:tRNA from 1 species